GACGAACGCUGGAGGUGUGCUUAACACAUGCAAGUCGAACGAUGAAAUGGAGCUUGCUCCAUGGAUUAGUGGCGAACGGGUGAGUAACACGUGAAUAACCUGCCCUUAAUUUUGGAAUAACCCAGGGAAACCUGGGCUAAUACCGGAUAAGUAAACCUGUGGCAUCACAUGGUUUUGGGAAGUUUUUCGAUUAAGGAUGGAUUCGCGGCCUAUCAGCUUGUUGGUGAGGUAAUGGCUCACCAAGGCGACGACGGGUAGCCGGCCUGAGAGGGUGAACGGCCACACUGGGACUGAGACACGGCCCAGACUCCUACGGGAGGCAGCAGUGGGGAAUAUUGCGCAAUGGACGAAAGUCUGACGCAGCGACGCCUCGUGAGGGACGAAGGUCUUCGGAUUGUAAACCUCUUUCAGCAGGGACGAAGCGAAAGUGACGGUACCUGCAGAAGAAGCACCGGCUAACUAUGUGCCAGCAGCCGCCGUAA
rnacentral:rRNA from 1 species